UAUAUGUUUCUCUUAUUAGUUGGUGAAUAACUGCUGACUGGCCAAUAGCCAAUAGGCAGGGCUACCAAACUAGAAGAAUGCUGGGAAGAGGAAGGAGAGAAGAACUGUCAGGGAGACAUCAUGUAGCUGCUGAGAAAGCAAGAGGUCCAGGCAUCACCAGGUCUGGCCAGAGGAACGGCACUUUGAAGAAUUGACUGAAAGCAAUCUCAUCUAUUUCCUUGCAUGUUACAAGACCUGUCCUUGUACUGUGACAUCUAAGGGCACCCAUCUAUGAACCAUAUCAUGUUGACCUUCUAUUGCCUUGUUGGUUUACUUUGAAGUGCAUUGAUGGGUUAUUCAUAGAGUGACUAUACACCCUAGUUUGCUUGGGACAGUUCUAACUCCCACAUGUAAUCCCACUGGAAUUAUUUUCAGUAUCCUCACCCUCAAAAGUGUUAUGAUUUUGUCCAUUUGACCAAAUUUUAUGGCCAUCCUAAUUAUAAAUGAGUUUCUCUUCCCCACA